UACGGAGGGUGCGAGCGUUGUCCGGAAUCACUGGGCGUAAAGGGCGCGUAGGCGGCCUGAUAAGUAGGGGGUGAAAUCCUGCGGCUUAACCGCAGGGCUGCCUUCUAAACUGUCGGGCUAGAGCACGGUAGAGGCAGAUGGAAUUCCCGGUGUGACGGUGGAAUGCGUAGAGAUCGGGAAGAACAUCAGUGGCGAAGGUGGUCUGCUGGGCCGUUGCUGACGCUGAGGCGCGACAGCGUGGGGAGCAAACAGG
rnacentral:rRNA from 1 species